UGGGGAAUAUUGCACAAUGGGCGCAAGCCUGAUCCAGCCAUGCCGCGUGAGUGAUGAAGGCCCUAGGGUUGUAAAGCUCUUUUGUGCGGGAAGAUAAUGACGGUACCGCAAGAAUAAGCCCCGGCUAACUUCGUGCCAGCAGCCGCGGUAAUACGAAGGGGGCUAGCGUUGCUCGGAAUCACUGGGCGUAAAGGGUGCGUAGGCGGGUCUUUAAGUCAGGGGUGAAAUCCUGGAGCUCAACUCCAGAACUGCCUUUGAUACUGAGGAUCUUGAGUUCGGGAGAGGUGAGUGGAACUGCGAGUGUAGAGGUGAAAUUCGUAGAUAUUCGCAAGAACACCAGUGGCGAAGGCGGCUCACUGGCCCGAUACUGACGCUGAGGCACGAAAGCGUGGGGAGCAAACA
rnacentral:rRNA from 1 species